rnacentral:lncRNA from 1 species
UCUUGAGUACUUUACACCUUGUACUAUGUGAUCCUAAUCCAUAAAUAGUUGGAUUUGAUGGUUCGUCAUUAGUACAGUGGGUGGAUGAAGCUUUUCUACACCUUUUGGUACAGUUACAGGCAGAAUUAAUCCGGGACCACAGGGAGCCAGGCAAAGUCCUCCAAGCAGUGGCAUGCCACAGCUGGCUCCAGCUGUGUACGAAAGAUUUUGUGAGCUGUUUGAGAUCACAGAGGUACCCUGAAAUUGCCUUGAUGGGGCUGUUUACAGCAUGAAAAUCAACAAAUACUGCAAAUCCAACUUCUAGUAUCUCUCUGAACUGAGUGCGAAGCAUUCAUCGGCACACUAUAAUCCAUCAUUGCAUACCUGUGGCUUUUUUCUUAUGACACUGACUUAUUAAAGAGAACAGAUCAGUUGCUCUGUAGAAUGUGUUGCUUUCUACAUGUGUCUGACUGUGAUAGCCCACAUAUUUCCUAUAUACUGGAGGUUAUAUCAAAAGGCUAAAUAGAUUCAAGUUAAACAUUCCUGGCUUUUAAUUGUUUUAGAUAUAUAAUGUGAUUUUCCAAAAGACACAUAAUAUUUGGUUGACUCACCACUAAUGAUACUAACAUUGGCCUCUAGAUUAAAUUUAGUAAGAGCAAUUCAGUCCCUCCAUUGUAGAAUUAUGUUUUUC